UCUUCAUUUCACGUGCUCUCUCACCGGUCAGAGUGACGAGAGAAUGUGUAAAAUGAAGAGA
rnacentral:pre_miRNA from 1 species